rnacentral:rRNA from 1 species
UAAUACGUAGGGUCCGAGCGUUGUCCGGAGUUACUGGGCGUAAAGCGCGCGCAGGUGGUCGAUCAAGUCUGGCGUGAAAGCCCCCGGCUCAACUGGGGAGGGUCGUCGGAGACUGGUUGACUUGAGGGCAGGAGGGGUUGGUGGAAUUCCCGGUGUAGUGGUGAAAUGCGUAGAGAUCGGGAGGAACACCCGUGGCGAAGGCGGCCAACUGGACUGACCCUGACACUGAGGCGCGAAGGCGUGGGGAGCGAACGGGAUUAGAUACCCCGGUAGUCCACGCAGUAAACGAUGCAGACUAGGCGUGGGGGGACUUGACCCCCUCCGUGCCGGAGCUAACGCGGUAAGUCUGCCGCCUGGGGAGUACGGCCGCAAGGCUA